UGGGGAAUAUUGCACAAUGGGCGCAAGCCUGAUGCAGCAACGCCGCGUGAACGAUGAAGGUCUUCGGAUCGUAAAGUUCUGUUGCAGGGGAAGAUAAUGACGGUACCCUGUGAGGAAGCCCCGGCUAACUACGUGCCAGCAGCCGCGGUAAUACGUAGGGGGCUAGCGUUAUCCGGAUUUACUGGGCGUAAAGGGUGCGUAGGUGGUCUUUCAAGUCGGGGGUGAAAGCCCAGGGCUCAACCCUGGAAUUGCCUUCGAUACUGAGAGUCUUGAGUUCGGAAGAGGUUGGUGGAACUGCGAGUGUAGAGGUGAAAUUCGUAGAUAUUCGCAAGAACACCAGUGGCGAAGGCGGCCAACUGGUCCGAUACUGACGCUGAGGCGCGAAAGCGUGGGGAGCAAACAGG
rnacentral:rRNA from 1 species